CCAAGGAGUCUAACAUGUGCGCGAGUCACUCGGUCUUGAAUAGGCCAGAGAGGCGCAAUGAAAGUAAAGUUGAUUGAGUUACGAUCCUCAUGCAGUCACUCGUAUGGGUGACGGUGGGGCGCAGUAACAGCCCGCCAAUUUCGCUUAUUGACGAUAUGGCGGAGUUGUAGCGUACACGUUGGUACCCGAAAGAUGGUGAACUAUGCCUGGGCAAGACGAAGCCAGAGGAAACUCUGGUGGAGGUCUGUAGCGAUUCUGACGUGCAAAUCGAUCGUCAGACCUGGGUAUAGGGGCGAAAGACUAAUCGAACCAUC
rnacentral:rRNA from 15 species